rnacentral:piRNA from 1 species
UACAAUGUAUGAACGCGGUGCAGAUGC